GGAGCUGCACCUGACCAAUGAGAGGCUGAAGGCAGGAUGGAACUGCAGGCUCAGCCAAUGAGAGUCCGGGGCCGGGACGGAGCUGCGUCUGACCACUGAGAGGAUGGGGGCGGGACGAAGCUGCACGUCAGCCAAUGAGAGGCCGGCGGCGGGAUAGAGCUGCACCUCAGCCAAUGAGAGGCUGGGGGCGGGACAGAGCGGCACCUGACCAAUGAGAGGCCGGGGGCGGGAUAGAGCUGCGGGGGGGGCCCGGAGUGCGCCCUAUUGCAAUAGGGGUUGGGAUUGGGAUUAGGGGUGUGGGAUUGGGAUUGGGGGUGUGGGAUUGGGGUUAGGACUGGGAUAUGAGAUUUGGGAUUGCGAUGGAUUGACGGAUGGUACAUGGGGCUGGGAUGUGGGAUUGGCAUUGGGAUUCGGGAUAGGGAUUGGGAUGCGGGAUACGGGAUUGGCAUGUGGGAUUGGGAAUGAGGUGUGGGAUUGGGAUUGGGGUUGGGAUGCAGGAAGUGGGUAUACGGGUACGGGACAGACUUGGCAAAGGUAUGGGAACGAUAUGGGGUGGAGUUGGGACGGGAUAUGGAUAUGGGAUGGGAUUGGGAUGAUCAUAGGAUGGGAUAGGUAUAUGGAAUGGAUAUGGGGUGGACACGGGAUGGAUGUGGGGAUAUGGAUUCAGGAAGGCUGUGGGAUGGAAAUGGAUAUGGGACAUGGGGUACAGGAUGGGGAUAGGAUAUGGGAUGUGGGGGUAUGGAUGUGGGAUGGCUUUAGGAUGGGGUAUGGGAUUGGAUAAGGGAUGGGACAUUGAUAUGGGAUGGAUAAGGAGAUGGGAUCGGUUUGGGAUGAGAUAUGGAUUUGAGAUGGAUUUGGGAUGGUUAUGGGAUGGAUAAGGUGAUAUGGAUAUAGAAAGAGAUUUGGCAUGGAGUUGGGAUGGGAUAUGGAUAGGGGAUGAGAUAUGGGAUGGGAUACGGAUAUGGGAUGGGCUAUGGAUAUGGGAUGGAUUUGGGAUAUGGAUACGGGAUGGAUUUGGGAUUUGGAUACGGGAUGGAUUUGGGAUAUGGAUACGGGAUGGAUUUGGGGUAUGGGUUUGGGAUGGAUAUGAUGGUUUGGAUAUUGGAAGGGUUAUGGAUACAGGAUGGGAUAUGGGAUGGGAUAUGGAUAUGGGAUGGCUAUGAGAUGGGGCUGUAGUGGUUAUAGGGCCAUGGGGGCUAUGGGGCUGGGAUGCUGCAGUGUCCCCAAAGCACUCCCCGGUGUGACACACGGAGCCCCACAGCCGCUCCUCUUCCUGCUAUUCACGUAGGGGGGGCAUCCCCCAACCCCCCGUUAUCACGAAAUAAACCUUAAUCCCAAAAAUAAAGGGUGCCCCCCGCUCCCACCCCAUGGGAACAGUGCAGUCUGCAAUGGGGGGCGCACAGAAUGGGUCCCCAGAGGGGGGUCCCCAACUUUGGGAUGUGACGCCAUGGUGGGGACUGUGGGGGCACUCCCACCUCUGGGACAGACCCCAACUUUGGGGUGUAACAUGUGGGGGUGUCCCCAACUUUGGGGUGUGACACUGUGGUGUGUCCCCAACUUUGGGGUCUGACACCAUCGGGGGGACACAGAGAUGCCCCAACUUUGAGGUGUGACACAGUGACGCGGUGUCCCCACUUCCCCUGGGAAGUCCUCAAGCUGCUCACAGUGUCCCCAACUUUGACGCAAUGCCCCCAGGGGGGUCCUUU
ensembl:lncRNA